rnacentral:lncRNA from 1 species
UCACACCAGUCGUUAGAUUGCACAAUUACAGUCGCCGUCCAAUCAUGCUUGAAGCUCAUCUUGACCGUCCGUUAGUACCAAUAUCUCUUGUUGUCAGAUCACUCUUAGAACAAUCCCUACCGUCCGAUCCACCUACCAGCCGAUAAACCGUGAUGCAGUGCGGUCCACGAUGGACCAUGAUGGUUGGGUGGGCCUGCGCCCGCGCUCGAGGGCCUGGGUGUGUGUCUAGGCUGGCUCAACAUGCUGCUAGCCUAGUGCCAGCAUGCUGUCAGGCCCGGCCCGCACUACCGACAGCCUGUGCUGGCUCAUGGGCCCCUCCGACAAUCCAUGGGUCGUACCAUCUACUCCCGAUCUGCUUUUGCAUGAAUCUCCACCGUCUGAAUUUUGUUUGAACUGUUCUUGGGCUUGUUAGAUUUCGUUCAUCAUCCUAGACCUCAUUCUGAGCUUAUUGUGGAUCGAAUCUUGAGGUAUUUUUCUCAAUAGAGAGAGGAAGGAUAAACUAUAAAUCUAUUCGAUCAUGGCACUAAAGGCCAGGGGAGAGGGAAGAAGAGAGGAAGAGAAGGGAUAAGGGAAGGGAGGAAG